rnacentral:rRNA from 1 species
UACGUAGGGUGCAAGCGUUAUCCGGAAUUAUUGGGCGUAAAGAGCUACGUAGGCGGUUUGUCACGUCUGCUGUGAAACUGGAGGCUCAACCUCCAGCCUGCGAGUGGGUACGGGCAGACUAGAGUGCGGUAGGGGAGAUUGGAAUUCCUGGUGUAGCGGUGGAAUGCGCAGAUAUCAGGAGGAACACCGAUGGCGAAGGCAGGU